CGGGGCGUAGCGCAGCUUGGUAGCGCACUUGGUUUGGGACCAAGGGGUCGCAGGUUCAAAUCCUGUCGCCCCGACCA
rnacentral:tRNA from 1 species